UACAGAGGUCCCAAGCGUUGUUCGGAUUCACUGGGCGUAAAGGGUGCGCAGGUGGGCUGGUAAGUUCGAUGUGAAAGCCCCGGGCUUAACCCGGGAAAGGCAUUGGAUACUACUGGUCUGGAGGAUUGGAGGGGGGACUGGAAUUCUUGGUGUAGCAGUGAAAUGCGUAGAUAUCAAGAGGAACACCAGUGGCGAAGGCGAGUCCCUGGACAAUACCUGACACUGGGGCACGAAAGCCAAGGGAGCAAACAGG
rnacentral:rRNA from 1 species